CCUACGGGGUGCAGCAGUCGAGAAUCUUUCACAAUGGGGGAAACCCUGAUGCAGCGACGCCGCGUGCAGGAAGACGGUUUUCGGAUUGUAAACUUCUGUUCUUAGUGAAGAAUAAUUACGGUAGCUAAGGAGCAAGCAACGGCUAACUACGUGCCAGCAGCCUCGGUAAUACGUAGGUGGCAAGCGUUGGCCGGAAUUACUGGGUGUAAAGGGUGCGCAGGCGGGAAGCGAAGUCAGCUGUGAAAACUACGGGCUUAACUUGUAGACUGCAGUUGAAACUGGUUGUCUUGAGUGAAGUAGAGGUUGGCGGAAUUCCGAGUGUAGCGGUGAAAUGCGUAGAUAUUCGGAGGAACACCGGUGGCGAAGGCAGCCAACUGGGCUUUAACUGACGCUGAGGCUCGAAAGUGUGGGGAGCAAACAGGAUUAGAUACCCGAGUAGUC
rnacentral:rRNA from 1 species